rnacentral:lncRNA from 1 species
UUUCAGUUACAGGGCUUUCCAUUGAAAUUGAAGUAGAAGGCUCAAUUAAAAAUAUAGGCGGCUGUAACAUGCGUUCGGCGAAGCCGGACGCCCACCAAGCUGUAAGCUUGGUGCCUUACGGCAGGGGGUCUGGGGGCCGCUCAAGGCCCCCAGAAGCUCUGGCAUAAAUAGAGCAAAAUCCUGCAUUCUCGCAAUCUCCUGGCACCUAAUUUCAUCUUUCAAAUGACCAUUUUUUUAUGUAUGAAAUUAAAGAAAGAAAAAAAAAAACUCGAAGAAAUUUCAUUUUUUUUUUAUGUUAGUUUUUUUAUUUUCAUUACCUUAUGCUUAAAAUUCAUUUACUUUUAACGGAGUUUUAUUUAAAUAAUCAUCCGGUUUGUUAGAAAUCUUGAUCGAUUUAUUUUGCAUAACUACGUGCAUUUGUAAACAAAUGAUCGACCCCCUUUUCUCUCUAAAGACUGUUACGCGUAUUUAAAUCAUACAAUUAUUUCUCAAGCAUUGACAGAAAAUUUAUAUAUCCUCUGAUUUUCUCUUUUUUGUUGUUGUAAACUGUUCAAUAAGUCGGAUACAUAAAUCAUUUGGAAAUGUUAUUUAUUUGAGGUCGAGUCGACAAUAUUCUACUUUCGUUUUUGACCUUGAUUCUCUGAACACCCACGUGGGCUUUGAAAAAAUGAACUUCAAAAGAUACUGUUUUCCAGAUUCUGAACAAUAUGAUCUACUACACUUUCUUUAAUUUGACUAAUAUUAUUCCAUAACAUAAGAUUGUCAUCCUAUCUGAUUGUCUUCACGUUUAAUCAAGCCAAAAAAAAGCCAACGAGUUAAUGACCAUCGGAACAUCUCUAUUGUUAUCAUUCAAUGACCACCGGAACGUCUCUCUUGUUAUCUUUGAAAAGAAACGAUGCAUUCUGACUUUAAAUAGACAACCAAUCAGGGACCUGAAUUCAUGUGAACUAUAUUUAGCCCAAGGUAAACACUGACUUUUCAUCCUUGUUUAUCGUGACCGCGACUUUGCGACAAUACGUCUCUCU